AACGUGGAAAGUAUAUUUGGAAUGCAAGGUCAAAAUUCGUUCGUUGAAUUUUGGUGAAGAAGCCAUUAUCAAUGAAAUUGAAAGCGAUGUGAUUUUCUUCGACAUUUCCACCGGCUGCUGG